AAAAGACUUAGUCCUAACCUUACCGUUAGUUUUUGCUAGGUAUAUACAUGCAAGUAUCCGCGCGCCAGUGUAAAAGCCCUGGAAACCCUUAACCCCGGUAGAUAGGAGCGGACAUCAGGCACACCACUUAAACUGUAGCCCAAGACGUCUUGCAAUUGCCACGCCCCCACGGGUCCUCAGCAGUAGUUAACAUUAAGCAAUGAGUGUAAACUUGACUUAGCCAUAGCAAAUUUAGGGGUGGUAAAUCCUGUGCCAGCCACCGCGGUCAUACAGGAAACCCAAAUUAACGUUAUAACGGCGUAAAGUGUGGUACCAUGCUAUCCAAGUAGCUAAGAUUAAAAAGCAACUGAGCCGUCACAAGCCCAAGAUGCUCAUAAGGCCUCCGUCCUCAAAGAAGAUCUUAGAAAAACGAUUAAUUGAAAUCCACGAAAGCCAGGGCCCAAACUGGGAUUAGAUACCCCACUAUGCCUGGCCCUAAAUCUUGAUGCUUAAUAUAACCCAAGCAUCCGCCCGAGAACUACGAGCACAAACGCUUAAAACUCUAAGGACUUGGCGGUGCCCCAAACCCACCUAGAGGAGCCUGUUCUGUAAUCGAUGAUCCACGAUAUUACCUGACCACUUCUCGCUAGUUCAGCCUAUAUACCGCCGUCGCCAGCCCACCUACUUUGAAAGCCCAACAGUGGACGCAAUAGCCCAACCACGCUAAUAAGACAGGUCAAGGUAUAGCCUAUGGAGUGGAAGUAAUGGGCUACAUUUUCUAGACUAGAACAUAACGGCAAAGGGAUCUGAAACGGUCUCUGGAAGGAGGAUUUAGCAGUAAAGUGGGACAAUCGAGCCCUCUUUAAGCCGGCCCUGGGACAUGUACAUACCGCCCGUCACCCUCCUCAAAGGCGAUUCAUUCACCAAUAAAAUAAUAAGCUAUCCAGCCAAAGAGGAGGUAAGUCGUAACAAGGUAAGUGUACCGGAAGGUGCACUUAGACUACC
rnacentral:ncRNA from 1 species